rnacentral:lncRNA from 1 species
GUUAUUUUAAAUAUUGUUUAUAAUGGUAUAAGUGGGUAAUUUUGAUGAAGAUUAGGGGGUUACUUUAGUUUAUUUUAUAUAAUGGCAGAGGUGGGUAAUUUAUAUAUAUAUUUAGGGGGUUACUUUAGGCUAUUUUCAUAAUGACAUAGGUGGGUAAUUUUUUAGAGAACAUAAUAGAUCCAAGGGCUAUGAUGAUUUGAAUCUAUCGAUUGAUGGUCGGAUGUUUUGCUUUUUUGUGAGAAUUUCUAGGAUUUCUCUCACUUUCUAGAGUGUCCACCUAGGAAUCCUAGGUGGCUUCACCUGGAGAUUUCAAAAGGAGCCUCCAACUAGUAAUAGUAAGAUUCAAGGCAGUGCAAGGGAUGAGUCUGAAAUCUAUACAACCAAAAUAGGCACAACUUUAAUUGCCUACCAAAAC